GAAAUGCGAUAAGUAAUGUGAAUUGCAGAAUUCAGUGAAUCAUCGAAUCUUUGAACGCACAUUGCGCCCCCUGGCAUUCCGGGGGGCAUGCCUGUUCGAGCGUCAUUACACCACUCAAGCCUGGCUUGGUAUUGAGCGCCGCGGCCUGCCCGCGCGCUCCAAUGUCUCCGGCUGAGCCGUCCGUCUCUAAGCGUUGUGAAUAGCGAUCGCUUGCGAGGCCCGGGCGGUUCGACGCCGUUAAACGCCCCAUUUUCUAUGGUUGACCUCGGAUCAGGUAGGGAUACCCGCUGAACUUAAGC
rnacentral:misc_RNA from 1 species